rnacentral:rRNA from 1 species
AUCUAUGGCCAUACCACCCUGAAUGUGCCUGAUCUCGUCUGAUAUCGGAAGCUAAGCAGGGUUGGGCCUGGUUAGUACUUGGAUGGGAGACCGCCUGGGAAUACCAGGUGCUGUAGGCU